rnacentral:sRNA from 1 species
UUUCCCCCUCUGUCCAUGGUGUAUCUGGUGGGGACACCGUCCAGCCCCAUUACAGAAAGUUUAUGAGAAAAUGUCCAGCCUCACGUGUCCUCACGGGCUUGGUCAUAGCACUCAAGCCAGCUCUGCAGCCGCCAUGCGUGUGUGCCAGAGUGUACUCUGGAGUGUGCAGGCUGUGUGCUGCGCUGGGACUCUUUGGACGAAUCUGACCUGUGGUUCCCACUGCACAGUGACAUGCUGGGGGAAUGCAGAACGAGGGACUAGAAUGGUCUUUACCAAGGCCUUGCUUUGUUUCGAGUCUGCCAGCUUCUUGGUGGCUGGGUCUGGGAAGGGGCGGGAGCACCUAGGUGUUGCAAUGCCAGGUCCAUCCGGGCACACUGCCUGGCCUGGCGUGACUUGGACACACACUGACCCCAUGCCAGGGCACUGCUGGGCAGACUGGUUUCUCCUGCCCUGCCCAGUGGCCUGGGGUCAGGCUUGCCCUCCCGCUGACAGGCCACCCUGUGUCACAGUGUGUCCCAGAUGUCACCUGCCUCCCUGCACUUCUAUGUGCCGUUGUUCCAUUAUUUGCUUAAAUGCUCUCUUUAAAUUGAUGCAUUGCAAGAUUGAGAAUUUGUUUCAGUGCUUUACAAACAGCAUUUUCAGUUGCCAUGGAAAGGCUAUGCUGGUAAGGCUGGGAUGUGGGAGAGAGCUGGUAGGGACCCCUGCCCGGUGACAUGUCCAGAUGUGAUCAGGAGGGUCAGAGAGGACGGAGACAAGGACAGUUUCUCAGGUGUGACUAGGGUAACUUAGUGCCCCCCUGAGGGUACCUCGCUCUGGCAGGAGCCUGGGCCCCUCCUCUGAGGACUCCUGCAUUUCACCUCUCUGGGCUGGGGGUCCACAGGGCACUGAUGUGUCCUGGGAUUUGAAAGCCCCAUCUAUGUCUGCGUCCAGUGGCUGAGCCAGUACUCCCUGGGGCCACUGAGAGGGGUCCGGGCAUGGUCCACUGUGUCUGGGGGUUCAGCAGCCCCUGGAUUGAACUCCAUAAAGCAAGUGCAAGAUCAAGGAAAGGACAAUGGAAGUGACCUUUAGACAAACGUUUGGGCAUCACAAUCACUGUCUUUCAUAGGGCAGCCUAGCCUUAGUUCUGUUGGGGUGGUGUUGGGGCAUGGUCUGCUGUGGACGCUGCUGCCCAGGGCAUGUUCUGCGUGUGUGGAGCUAUUGCAAGUCUGGUGUUGCCAGGCUUCUUAAUGUCUGCCAGAUGUGUGGGGAGAAUUUGUGUAUCGUGUGUGAUGAUGUGCAUUUUCUUGAUUUCUAAUGAAUUUGAGUAUCCCUUCUAUAAUUAUGAAGAGCUGAUGAACAGCUCUUGGUUGGCUCUAAAGCUGCCUGUGAAUAUCAUAUAUUUGUCCCCACUCUCUCUGCUUUGCACCAGCUCUGAAAAAGGGCAGCCCCUGGACCUUGUCUAGGACCUAGACCCAGCAAGCCUCUGGUGCUGCUGGCCAGGCUCUUGUCUCUCUUGUCUCCAGUGUCCUGAGCCUUGCCUGCCUCCUCCUGGCUCUUAACUGGCUCCUCCACCCAUGUGGAAAGUUUCCUCCCUCCAGCACCAUCCUCAGAACUCAACAGUCUAGGCCUACUUCUGAUCCCAUAUCAACGACCAAGAAGAGAAAAAUGGUGUUCAUUCUCUCAAAGAUCUAACAGCCUAGUGGGGUGGCAGCAGGGGGACUGACAGCUGUUCCGGCAUAGCAUGUGCCAUAAACUAGAUUCAUGGGUGGCAUCAGGAAAGGCUUCACAGAGCAGGAGGUGGCUGAACUGAGUCUUGAGGGAUGAAUAGGAGUUUGCCACAUGGAUAUGGGAAGGCCUUUCAGGCAAAGGCUGUAGGUCUUUACAGAUCGUAGCUUGUUCAGAAAACCAAUCAUCCAUUCAUGCACUUAACAACCAUGUGUUGAGCACCUCCUGUGUUCCAGGCAUGGUUCUAGAUGCUGGGGACACAGCAGUGAGUGAGAAGGUCUCUGACCCCAUAGAGCUAGCAUGCUGGAGGGGUCAAGAGUAGAGGAGAGAGACAAAGAACAAGAAAGAUGAUCACCAAGGAAAUGACACAGUCAGUUAGGUGCUACAUGCCAGGCGAAGAAUGGGUGAAGGUGGCAUGGGGAGUUAGGUGCUACAUGCCAGGGGAAGAAUGGGUGAAAGUGGCAUGGGGUUGGGGCAGAUGAGCAGUAGGAGACCACACAUAUAUAGAAGCUUCGAGGGAGAGACAGAGCACCUUACAGGCCAGUGGGGAUGGGUAGGCUAUCAGGGAUGGCACCGGGACGAGCAACUCCUUAUAUGGAAAACAAUCAAAUUAGAUCCCUCUUCACAGUGUGAACCCUUCCUGGAACAUGCCAGGGUACUGAAAAAUGAAACCUAGUAUUUAUGCUAAAAUGUGGGCUGGCCCGUGCUGCACACACGCCCCCAAAGGCUGGUGGUGCCCACUUGCUGUGCAUCUGUGCACCUUCUCGUGGAAGUCUCAUUCCAUCAAACCACAUUAUGGGUUAUUUCACAGAUGAGGACACAGAGAGUGGAGGUCCUAUGUCCCAGGUCACACACAGCCAGUCAGCAUUAGAGCUGAGAUACCAAGCUGUCAGCCACACAUGUGCACUCACCUGGAACAUCUGUGGAGCUGUUAGAAUCGCUGCCACUUUUCGUGAAACUGAAGUGCAUCUUUGGGUUUGCAACUAAAGAAACCAGCUGCUACAAUGUCACUAACAUAGGAUUCAAAAGCCCUUCGGAUUUCUGGCAGUCUGUGCACAGCACCCUGCCUCGGGAGUUGGCUCGUUGUCUAAUAUUUAAUACGUCCCGAAACUUGGCUUUAUUUUCAGCCGCCUUUGCCUUCAUUGUGGUGAAAGAUAGUGCGGGUGACUCAGAUGUGGUGGUGCAGGAGCUCAAGUCCAUGGUGGCCACCAAGAUCGCCAAAUAUGCUGUGCCUGAUGAGAUCCUGGUGGUGAAACGUCUUCCAAAAACCAGGUCUGGGAAGGUCAUGCGGCGGCUCCUGAGGAAGAUCAUCACUAGUGAGGCCCAGGAGCUGGGGGACACUACCACCUUGGAGGACCCCAGCAUCAUCACGGAGAUCCUGAGUGUCUACCAGAAGUGCAAGGACAAGCAGGCUGCCGCUAAGUGAGCUGGCGCCUUGUGGGGCUCUUGGGAUGGGCGGGCACCCAAGCCCUGGCUUGUCCUUCCCAGAAGGUACCCCUGAGGUUGGCGUCUUCCUAAGUCCCAGAAGCAGCCCCCACCCCACACAUGACCCACACCGCCCUCACGUGAAGCUGGGUGAGAGCCCUUUCUCCCAUCCGUUGGAGGUCCCAGGAAUGUCACCCAUGGACAGGCUAUGCGACAUGGCUAGGGCUGGUUCUGCCAUCCUGAGUUUGGUUUCGUGGAAUGAAAAGGUAUUGCCAUCUCCACUCCUCUCACAGGAAGGUGAGGCCCUGGGAUAGCGCACCUGCUCAGAUAACACAGGGCUAGUUAGCUAGUAGCAACCGUGUUUUCUCCAGAUCUGUCUAGAUACAAAGGGCAGAAAUCUUAUUUUCAUACUUUUAUAUUGUGGAAGAACAACAUGCAACACUCACAUGUAGUGUGUGGAUUUACUUGAACAUGUUCUUUUUAACAUGUAGUUAGAAAAAUCUCCUUUUUUGCCUCUACUGGUGAGGAAACAUGAGGAUCAGAGGCCACAUUUUUAAUUAUUGUCUGAAUUGGAGAUGUUUGUACCUCUGUCUAAACAGUUCCCUUGAGAACUUCCAAGCCUCUGGCAUCCUUUCCUGGUGUUUCUCCUGUGCUUGGUUGUGUAUAAUGGAGCUAACUCCUAAGCAGUGGGGUGAAUGUGGCCACCUUAGUUCUGAAGCUACUCCAGUUAUGUUCUGUUUCUUCAAGCUGUGAUCCAGAAAGAUUUUUGUGCCCCCAGAUGCCUCUUGAUAGGAGAGGCAACAUACUCCAAAUAGUUGGGUUCUUCAGGGAAGCUAUUAGAAACUCAGGUGACUUGUUAGAGCACUAACUUGGUCAGAGCCAAAUCCUGGCAAACGCUGCCUGACCUUCACUCUGUGGUUGGGGCGGUGAGAACCACUGAGGUCCAAUGAUGAGACUUGGAGUUCUGGAUCCAGUCUCUCUCUGUUUUAAUGUGACUUAGGUGCUGUCAACAUUAGCAAGAUAGUGGAAAUCACGACGCCAGUGGGUGCUUACCUCCCUGCUAGGCAUGCAGGGGCUGGCGGUUGGCAGGGGAAGGAGGCCCAGUGAGCUGGGUCUCUUAGGGCAGGGAGAGUUUGUCCUCUUUGCCCCACAGUCUACCCUUCAGGGCCUUGUGGCAGUGCCAGUGUUCGGGGGGUGUCUGGGCUACUGAGUACCCACUCGGUCGUGGCUGUGCUGGCCUCUUGGGUGAGUGAGCCUGUGAUGCCCAGGAGGUGGUGUUGGCUGCAGCGUACACAAAUACUGAGUGGUGGUCUUUUGUUACAGGCUUAGCAACAAAGCUGUGCCCUGGGCAUGGGGGGCUGUAGUGUAGCUACAGUUGUGUGUUUGUGAAAUGGCUUAGCUUUCCAUGUUGCUGAGAGGAACCUGGACAUGGUCCCGGGCAUCUGAAUGAUCUGUAGGGGAGGGAGUUCAAAUAAAGCUUUAUUUUGUUCAUUUCC